UGGAAGUUUUGUCAAGAAGUCAUAUCGCCUCCACUGUACACAUGGGGAAGUUAAGACCCAGCCAAUCUGAAAGAUCUGCAUUCAGACCAAGCUUCCAAUGCACACAGUGUACUCUGAAUCUUUAAUUCCCCAAAUGUGCACAGGGACUUCCCUAGUUAGUUUCAGCUGUUGACUUCAUGCAAACUAGAGUCACUCAGGAAGAAGCCAUCACAAGUGAGACAUUGCCUUCAUCGGACUGCCUUGGAUGUAGCAGGUCACGCCCUGCUGAGGGUGGUGCCAUUACCUAGGCAAGUAGUUAGGUCUGAGCUACACUACAUAAGGAAGCUAGCUGAGCCAGCCAAAGGGGAAGGAAAACAGCAGGAAUCCAAAAAAGCCAUGCAAUACCAAAACAAGAAUCAAGGUUAAGUGUAAAUUUUAGCACACGGUGGUGAGAUCCUUGAUUCUCAAAUGAAAGGUGUUCAAGACAUUUUUACACACCCUACCAAUUUCUGAAUCAAGGCAAAUCCCAGUUUCUGUCUCCCAUCAGCCUAUUUGAGGCCCCUUAUAUGGAACUGCCUUGUGUAUGUUGAUGUCCGCUGUCUUUUGAUGAGAGAAUGACAGCAAUGGGUUUCAAAUAAGCCACAGUAAAGAACACCACAGAAUACAUCACUCUGCACAUCCAGGUCUCACACUUGGACAACAGAAGGGGCUGAGAGGCACCACUCCGCUUAGGAGCCUUCUAAUCCUGUCUCUGAGGUAGAUAGAGACAGAGCAAAAACUUCACAUACAAAUGGGGCACAUUAUGGACGGGGAUGAAGCUGGUUCAGGCAUCAGGGGGACAGGGCUGUCCCUCAGUUGCCUACAAACUUCCAUCUAUCCAUAGUGUGAUGAAAGAUUGGCCAAGGUACCCAACCAUACUGUAGGAGACCACACAUGAGCUGGUGACAGGUGUUCAUGAGUUGCAGAUAAUGACUACCGAUCUCUUUAAAGCACAGUUGGGUCCAACAGUUUUAAGCCUAAGAAGGGUCUGACCCAUUAGUUCCCACUGGACAGACCAAUCAAGGUGGUGGCAGUGAGCAGCAGCACCCCACAUUGGGGACAGCCUAUGGUCGGGUACGAAAAUGAAGGGCCCUUGGUCGGAUACCUUCACUUGUUUUCUGGUGUCUUCCUUCUCUAUAGGAGUGGUCAGGUUUAGGUCUGGCAAUGAGUUUGGAAUCAGAUUACCACUUCCCAACUUGGUUGCUGCUUAACAGUAGAAGGAAUUGUCCCUCUCUGUCUGAUCUGGAUCCAUUAACUGGAUCCCCCUCCCCCAGUUCCCCAUUCCCACGGCCUUGAAAGUGAGAUGUUUCAAGUUCAGAGGAACCAAUGUCAGUGGAUGCGUUUCAUUGGAAUGACGUUUUGCAAACGCAGCUUGAGGCUUGCUGAGCACAGAAUCCCCUGCUAGAAGGAGCUCCUGCAGAUGGCAGGACUGGAGAGAGCCUGAGUCCAAACAGCCUUGUGAGACCGUGCAGGUUGUUGAAGAACCAGUAAGGAUUCCACAUAGGAUACCUCUGCUUCUGGAAUGACUUCUUGAUUGUUCUAAACCCAUCAUUGUGGCUGUCAAAGACGUGACUUCAGUCCCACUCUUAACGUCAAAAGCUGAGCAAGUAAAAUAGCCAUGCCUGAUCCUCUCCAAGAAGACUAGUAACACCAUGAGGACAGGGGCCCUGGGGUUUUGUUGAGGGAGGGGUGGUUCAUUUGUUUGCUUGCUUGCUGGCUUGUUCUGAUAUUGCUGUUAGCUAUUACGACAUGACUCAAGCUCAUCACAGACAUCAGUAUUUUUCUAGCAGCAGAUAUGAGUGAAACAUGCAAGAGCC
rnacentral:lncRNA from 1 species